UAAUAAGUGUUUUAUGGCACUUUUUAAAUCCAUAUCCACCUUGUGUGCAAUGUCAGUCGAUCUUCUUCAUGGAGAUCGACCAAAUCAUCAACCUUUAUCUUUUAACUCUUUGUCUUAAAAAUAUUAUGAAUAAACAAUUCAAAAUA
rnacentral:misc_RNA from 1 species